UAUAUUAAGAAAAGGUUUUGGUGAGGUCUCAUUUUAAUUUUAGGUUUUCCAUCUUGGUAGAAAUAUCUUGCAGUGAGCCGAGAUCGCGCCACUGCACUCCAGCCUGGGCGACAGAGCGAGACUCCGUCUCAAAAAAAAAAAAAGAAAUAUGAAUAUAAAAAUAAAUUUUUUGCCUAGUUGAUUUUGGGAAUCUUCAUAUGCUUAGAAAAUUAACCUUUUUCUAUUAGGCUGGUGCAAAAGUAAUUGCGGUUUUUUUGCCAUUAAAAGUAAUGGCAUAAACCAUUACUUCUAUUAAUAAAACCCUCAAUUUUCAUUUUCAUAGCCUUUCAGAAUGGGAGUAAGCUUUGCAAUCAACCUGCUCCUUCAUCUUAUCUGUACACUUGAUAAAUCUGAUUCAGUGGUUGGAACGGAAUCUGCUUUUCCUGUAUUGGUUACAAGCAAGCACUUUGCCUGGGUUCUACCCUGCUAGGCUGCCACCACAUUCCUAAGAACCACGGGAAAAGGCAUUUGCUCCUCCGAAGAAAUUCUCAGACUGAUUUUUCACUGUAUUGUCAGGUGAGCAAAACUUUAAAA
rnacentral:lncRNA from 10 species